GAAACACAACAAGCUUUGACAGAAUUCAGAGGACUGGAAGACUUUGUCUGAAAGCUCAAACUGAAUUUGAAAAAUGUUACUGUAGUCCUCCUCUGGCAUUGUGACCUGGAUGCCUGCUGGCCCUGCUCUGCAAGGCUGAGGCUGCAUUCCACCUUUGACAUUUUGCCAUGAUCUUUCCAGUUUGAAGGGAGUGCUGGAAGUGGGGAAUCCCUCAAAGUGAUCUGUCAUCAGAAUUCUCAUUUAAAUGAUGCCAGAAGCAUUACCUUACACUUGGAAAAGCAGAUAUUUUAAUUGUGUUAUGCCAUAUGGUCACUACAAGACUUUUCAGAAACAUUUUUCCAGUUGUUUUCAGGCUGUUUGUGACACCCAAGGGAUUGAAAAUGAAUUCUGGAACAUUAUCCAACACCAGGAAAAUUUGGAUACUGCAGAAGAAAGAUGGCUUUUUCCUUCUCUUUAUUUUAGAUCCCCCUGCUUUGUACCAAAACCAAGCAGUUGGAUCCCCCUGUGGUUCUCCUCCAGUGUCUGUUGCUCUUCUGUGUCUCUGCUUGGCUCCCCAGCUCAGAUCCAUGUAGCCCUCCUGCCAUCAAGCACUGUGCUGUGCCAGUAG
rnacentral:lncRNA from 1 species